GAGAAUUAAUUGCAUUCUUGCAUGAGGUUAUAAUAGUGGGAGGAGAAAAUAUCUUGUGGAACAAAAUUUGUGUUAGUUUUUUUAUUGAUUUGAAACAUAAAAUAAUGAAUUAAUUAAGUCAAUAACAUAGUAAAUAAAUCAUAUUUUUCUCUCCUGUCACUACGGUGUUAAUGGUUCUGAAUUGACCAGCCACACUAAUGUAAUUCAACAAGGCCAUACCAAAAAAUGUGGUAAUUUCAUUGUUCACUAUGUUAGAAUUUGAAUUUAACAAUGCUCAUUCAACAACAUUUAUAUGUUGAAUGCUAUUAAAUGUAAGGCAGAAGGAAAUCAAUAGCGCUCAGUAGGACCGACAAUAAACUGAACCAACUUAGUAGGUAUAUCAAUAAUGUUUCCCAAAAGGAGUGUUUGGGGGCUUGGAAGUGAGGAUUGUGACGUUGUCGUUUUGAUCAUCGUCAGAGUCGGUGAGAUCAAUGAGAAUGGAGGUGGAUUUGUGUUUAACUUUGAGAGAGAAUGUUGUGAUAUGAAAGGUUUCAACAUCUAUCACUUCAGCUAUUGAAGGAGGAAAAGAAAUGUUUUUCAUUAUCUCUGUUAUGUUUGAAAAUUGGAAUUGAAAUCAGAGAUAAAUGUGAAUAUAUUUCAGUAAAGAGG
rnacentral:lncRNA from 1 species